AUGAGCACCUGUUUUUCACACUUUCAAGAUUUUAAACUCAAGCCUACAAGGUCACAGCUUUUUGGUAUUUAUCCAGAUCACAAGCAAGAUGAUUGUUCGACCGUAAAGGACCUGUGAUGCAAACAUGGACACCUCGUGGGACACAAUGUGGAGCAGCCCAGGUAUAAAUUUUUACCUUAUUAAAAUUAGAUCUUAGAUUAACUAAAAUGCUUCUUCAGUGGUUCCCAAACUUUUCUGGCUCGUUCAGCUUGGCAGAUGAAAAAAAUUCUGUUGUCCAACCAGAGGCUGUGUCUGAAAUCAGCUGAUCUGAAAAGUCCAGUCAGAAGCCAGACUUCCCAGCAAAGGUAAAGAAGGUUUCUAUUCUUGACCGAGCCAAAAUGAUUCAGUUUAGUCCCCUACUCCACCCAAUCACAU